UAUGUUUGUAUUUCCUCUAUAAAUACUAGAGAAGCUAAGCUUAUUUUCACAUACAUCAACCAAAUAACAAGAUCAACUCUAGUGCAAAUUAACUCUCUCAAUGGCAUUGAAAGUUGUUGUAGUGUUGUUCCUUGCAAUGAUUGUUUUUACAGAUCAUAAGUGUGUGGCUGGCCAAUUUUGUGGUAGGAUGUCUUACAAAAUUCAAAAGUGCUGAAAGCUUUAUUGCCUCGUUGAUUGUAACAUGCCAUGUCCGCCACAAUGUAUAACAAAAUUAUCAGCUUCACGUGAUAUUAAGGGCUUACUUUUGUGUGUUGGCGGUUGCCUUUCGCCAUUUACAACAAUUUCUGAUGAAGUUGCAACUUUAAUCCCUACUACAACUGUUUGUAACAUUGGAUGUUUUCUUCUUAUCGAUUUCUUUAUAUUAUGCGUCUGGUUGCAGGGUCAGUAAUGUUUCAUAGGUGAAGACGAAGAUGAGUCUCCAACAGCUUCUAUUCUUCAUUCCUUUUUUAUGGGAGCUGUCUCUUGCUUUUAUUUAUACUUUGUAUCUCUAGAAGCUCUUGUACCUAUUUAGACUAGUAUUCUUGGGUGUGUUAAGUGUCUCUUGUAAUAAACCUUAGAAUUUAAAAAAAUCAAUUUUGGUGUAUUCCUGACUCUUGUAGUAUUUAUAAUGGUAUUUAUUAAACUUCCGCAUG